rnacentral:rRNA from 1 species
GAGCGAGAAAGGGUAGCAAUACCUGAGUAAAGCGGCGCACGGGUGAGUAACACGUGACUAACCUACCUCCGAGUGGGGAAUAACCUGGGGAAACCCGGGCUAAUACCGCAUAACACCUACGGGUCAAAGGAGCAAUUCGCUUGGAGAGGGGGUCGCGGCAGAUUAGCUAGUUGGCGGGGUAAUGGCCCACCAAGGCGAUGAUCUGUAUCCGGCCUGAGAGGGCGCACGGACACACUGGAACUGAAACACGGUCCAGACUCCUACGGGAGGCAGCAGUGGGGAAUUUUGCGCAAUGGGGGAAACCCUGACGCAGCAACGCCGCGUGGAGGAUGAAGUCCCUUGGGACGUAAACUCCUUUCGACCGGGACGAUGAUGACGGUACCGGAAGAAGAAGCCCCGGCUAACUUCGUGCCAGCAGCCGCGGUAAU